CCGGGCGGCUGCAGUGGGGAAUAUUGGACAAUGGGGGCAACCCUGAUCCAGCCAUGCCGCGUGUGUGAAGAAGGCCCUCGGGUUGUAAAGCACUUUCAGUGAGGAAGAACGCCUGGUGGUUAAUACCCAUCAGGAAAGACAUCACUCACAGAAGAAGCACCGGCUAACUCCGUGCCAGCAGCCGCGGUAAUACGGAGGGUGCGAGCGUUAAUCGGAAUUACUGGGCGUAAAGCGCGCGUAGGUGGCUUGAUAAGCCGGUUGUGAAAGCCCCGGGCUCAACCUGGGAACGGCAUCCGGAACUGUCAAGCUAGAGUGCAGGAGAGGAAGGUAGAAUUCCCGGUGUAGCGGUGAAAUGCGUAGAGAUCGGGAGGAAUACCAGUGGCGAAGGCGGCCUUCUGGACUGACACUGACACUGAGGUGCGAAAGCGUGGGUAGCAAACAGGAUUAGAUACCCUGGUAGUC
rnacentral:rRNA from 1 species